rnacentral:rRNA from 1 species
UACGAAGGGGGCUAGCGUUGCUCGGAAUCACUGGGCGUAAAGCGCACGUAGGCGGCUCUUAAGUCGGUGGUGAAAUCCUGGAGCUCAACUCAGACUGCCUUUGAUACUGGCGAUCUUGAGUCCGGAGAGGUGAGUGGAACUGCGAGUGUAGAGGUGAAAUUCGUAGAUAUCGCGAAGACACCAGUGCGAAGGCGGCUCACUGGCCCGGUACUGACGCUGAUGGUGCGAAAGCGUGGGAGCAACAGGAUAGAUACCCUGA